rnacentral:snRNA from 1 species
AUACUUACCUGGCAGGGGAGAUACCAUGAUCACAAAGGUGGUUUUUCCAGGGUGAGGCUUAUCCAUUACACUCCGAAUAUGCUGACCCCUGCAAUUUCCCCAAAUGUGGGAAACUUGACUGCAUAAUUUGUGGUAGUGGGAUGAUGUGUUUGCACUCUUAUCUGU